rnacentral:lncRNA from 1 species
CGGGGGUCCCUCGUGUCCCUCCCCACUCCCGGGGGUCCCGGGGGUCCCUCCCCAGUCCUGGGGGUCCCGGGGGUCCCGGAGGUCCCUGCCCAACCGGGGGUCCCUCACGGGGGUUCCAGAGGUCCCUCCCCAAAUCCCGGGGGUCCCUCGUGUCCCUCCCCACUCCCGGGGGUCCCGGGGGUCCCUCCCCACUCCUGGGGGUCCCGGGGGUCCCUGCCCAACCGGGGGUCUCCGCAGGGACCCCCCGCAAGCAGCGGCGGGAGCGCACCACCUUCACCCGGGCACAGCUGGACGUGCUGGAGGCGCUGUUCGCCAAAACGCGGUACCCGGACAUCUUCAUGAGAGAGGAGGUGGCCCUGAAAAUCAACCUGCCCGAGUCCCGCGUGCAGGUGAGGGGACACCUGGGNGGGGACAGGGCCACCACAGCCCUGGGGACACGAGGACAGCGCCACGAGGACAGCGCCACCGCAGCCUUGGGGACACGGGGACAGGGCCACCACAGCCUUGGGGACACGGGGACAGGGCCACCACAGCCCUGGGGACACCGCUGGGGUGGGGACAGGGCCACCGCAUCCCUGGGGACACCGCUGGGGUGGGGACAGCGCCACCGCAUCCCUGGGGACAUCGCUGGGGUGGGGACAGCGCCACCGCGGCCCUGGGGACAUCCCGGGGUGGGGACAGCGCCACCGCAGCCUUGGGGACACGGGGACAGGGCCACCACAGCCCUGGGGACACGGGGACAGCGCCACCGCAGCCUUGGGGACACGGGGACAGCGCCACCGUAGCCCUGGGGACAUCCCGGGGUGGGGACAGGGCCACAGCAGUCUUGGGGACAUCGCUGGGGUGGGGACAGGGCACCGCAGCCCUGGGGACACGGGGACAGCGCCACCGCAGCCUUGGGGACGUCGCUGGGGUGGGGACAGCGCCACCGCAGCCUUGGGGACAUCCCAGGGUGGGGACAGCGCCACAGCAGCCUUGGGGACAUCGCUGGGGUGGGGACAGGGCACCGCAGCCCUGGGGACACGAGGAUAGGGCCACCGCAGCCUUGGGGACACGGGGACAGGGCCACCACACCCCUGGGGACAUCCCGGAGUGGGGACAGCGCCACCGCGGCCCUGGGGACAUCUCUGGGGUGGGGACAGGGCCACCACAGCCCUGGGGACACAGGGACAGCGUCACCGCGGCCCUGGGGACAUCCCGGGGUGGGGACAGCGCCACCACAGCCUUGGGGACACGGGGACAGCGUCACCGCAGCCCUGGGGACAUCCCGGGGUGGGGACAGGGCUACUGCAGCCUUGGGGACAUCCCGGGGUGGGGACAGCGCCACCACAGCCCUGGGGACAUCCCGGGGUGGCACCAGCUGACGGGUGGGGACGCGAUGGGGACAGGCCACCGGCCGAGCCGGGCC